GUCAACCUCUACUCUCGCAGACAACGAAGAAGACGGAUGACUGACUGGACAUAAUCUCUGUCACCUGAUCUCGAGUGAUUUUCUCUCUUCAAACGCAGACCUGAGGCGUUCUUUUUGGCUAAUGUUAUAGUCAUCACCGCUGGCUACUAGACCUACGGGGUGAUGUUAGUGCUCAUCGUACUGUUGCUGCAGCAGAACGAGACAAUACUUUGGACAUCCGGGAUUAUAUCUCGGUCAGUCACUUUUAUCGCGUUUCUACAAGACGAAUUGAGACGUUAGUCAUGUCUGUUGAAAGGGCGGUGAGAAAGGUGAUGGACCUACGGGACAUAAUCUCGGUCACAGUAUGAGCGCACUUGUUGGGUUCUACAGCUUUCAGAAAUUCUCUUGUGGACGUGGUGGAGGAGGCAACGAGAUCACAAUCUCAUUCACUACAUCCAUCAGAUCACCUGCUGCCGUUUCUAUGCCAUCAAUGAGACAACCUGCCAUCUUUGGUGAAGCAAUUGAAGCAAAUGCAGAAGAGCCGCCAGACAGAACAGUCACACAAACGUCUGUCACAAGCGAUCCAAUCUAUAAGCUCUGACAUUCCUGCAUGGAAUGACUGCAGAAUCUAAGCAAAGAAACAAACUUCAACAGGAAGAGAUAUGCCUGAUUGUGUGAAGAAAUUUCAAAUGGAACAUUCAGUUGUAUGUUGUUUAUGAAGAUGGAGUGAGA